rnacentral:rRNA from 1 species
UAGGGAAUCUUCGGCAAUGGGGGGAACCCUGACCGAGCAACGCCGCGUGAGUGAAGAAGGUUUUCGGAUCGUAAAGCUCUGUUGUUAAGGAAGAACGAGUGUGAGAAUGGAAAGUUCAUGCUGUGACGGUACUUAACCAGAAAGGGACGGCUAACUACGUGCCAGCAGCCGCGGUAAUACGUAGGUCCCGAGCGUUGUCCGGAUUUAUUGGGCGUAAAGCGAGCGCAGGCGGUUAGAAAAGUCUGAAGUGAAAGGCAGUGGCUCAACCAUUGUAGGCUUUGGAAACUGUUUAACUUGAGUGUAGAAGGGGAGAGUGGAAUUCCAUGUGUAGCGGUGAAAUGCGUAGAUAUAUGGAGGAACACCGGUGGCGAAAGCGGCUCUCUGGUCUGUAACUGACGCUGAGGCUCGAAAGCGUGGGGAGCGAACAGG